rnacentral:rRNA from 1 species
CCAGACUCCUACGGGAGGCAGCAGUGAGGAAUAUUGGGCAAUGGAGGCAACUCUGACCCAGCCAUGCCGCGUGAGUGAAGAAGGUUUUCGGAUUGUAAAGCUCUUUCGGAUGUGACGAUGAUGACGGUAGCAUCUAAAGAAGCCCCGGCUAACUUCGUGCCAGCAGCCGCGGUAAUACGGAGGAUGCGGGCGUUAUCCGGAUUUAUUGGGUUUAAAGGGUGCGCAGGCGGAUUUUUAAGUCAGCGGUCAAAUCGUGGGGCUCAACCCCAUCCAGCCGUUGAAACUGGGGAUCUAGAGUGUGCGAGAGGUAUGCGGAAUGCGUGGUGUAGCGGUGAAAUGCAUAGAUAUCACGCAGAACCCCGAUUGCGAAGGCAGCAUACCGGUGCACAACUGACGCUCAGGCACGAAAGCGUGGGUAUCGAACAGGAUUAGAUACCCUAGUAA